CUCUCCUCCGCAGACGCCGGCGCUCCACCCAGAACACCCCGGCGAGCCCUCAGGCCCGGGCCCUGCCCUGGAGGUGGCCGUGCGCCUGCGGAGAACUUCAGAUCGCUUCACAUCACCCUGCCUAUUUCGGGACAUCGUCUCUGAGGAAAACACUGUGAGAAAACUACAGGUUAAGGGACUUAGCCGAAGUUAUACAACCAGUUGCUAGAAGAAUCAGAACCAGUACCGUAUCACCUCCUUCACUUCAACAUUACAUGAAAAUCUGCACAGCCUCCUGGAAUCAUCCAAUAAUUGUUACUAAGUCACUAUCAACAGUAGUGAUAGUGACUUAACUCUGCGUGUCUUCUUUUUGGGCAGGUUCUUGCUCAGACCCUGGAAUGCAGCAGCCUGAUCAAGUAAUCCUUCUGCCUCAGCCUCCUGAGUAGCUGGAACUACCGCAUUCCAGGGCUCCAACUGCCACUGCUACCAGUUAUCAAUCUAGUUGGAAGGAGUAGUGGUAGCAAUAGAGGCCUAAAUGUCUUAAACAAUCACAUGUCAAGAUCUAGGAAGUUGGAGAAAUAAAAGUCAGGAAAGGCUGCAAAUUCUGGACAAUCACAAUGGAUUUUCACCUGCUCCCCUAAUUAAAUGUGUUUAUUUAGGAGUCAAUCCCCCAAUUAAUGUAUCAACAGUCAAGAUGAGAAACACUUAUGAAUUUGUGUAUUGAAUUACUCCAUUAUCAAAAAAGGCAUUAAUAAAUGAAGAUUGCAUUUGUUUUACUUCAAUACCAGGUAAAAAUGAGAAUUGGCAUCCCUUACCCUGGACAACGAACCUUGAUUCAAACAUAUUCAAGGGUAAAAAGAGAUUUAUUUAUAACAGGGAUUCUUCACUCUGAUCCUUGUUAAGAGGAUCCAAACAUGGGCUUUAUAUGGUCAACAAAGGGCCUAAAUUUGUGUGUUUGGGUAUAUACAUAAAUAUAUAUAUAUAUAUAUAUAGUUUCCAGGAAGAAUGUUAAUAGAUCUUUAAUAGCUAAUAUUCACUGAAUACUGUAGGUAAGGCACUGUUCGACAUGCUCUACAUGCAUUCACUUUUGAUCCCUAAAACAUCUCUAGAAAAUAGUACAAUUAUUUCCCCAUUUCUGGCUUCAGAGUCCAUGUUAUCAAGCCUACUUAAGACUGAUAAGAUGAAGGUUAAGAAUCACUCACCUAAAAUAAUUUCUCUUAGUUGGGCUCCAGUUCUAAUUCUUGACUCUUGGUUAAAACUAUCUUUACUUAUUUAGCUGGGUUUGACCUUGUCCUUUGGAAUUCUAUCUCUGGAACAAACUUAAUAGCAGUGAAAGAGAGGACUUUGGAGCCAUACUGUCUGAAUUGGAAUCCUAGGCCUACCACUUAUUUAGGUGAGUGACCUAAUUUUCUGAGCCUCAGCUGCCUCAUCUAAAAUGGAAAUAACAACCCUUACCAAAGGAUUAUUUUGAGGAUUAACUGAGUUAUGAUACAUCACAUGUUUAGAACGUUGCCUUAAAACUGUUAUCAGCCAUAAUAAGCAUUCAAUAAAUGUUAAUUACUAUUUGAGGAUCAGUGAGGUUAAGUGUGAUGAACUCAUUUUCCAAAGCUGCAUUUUAAAAAUGUUGGCAAUUUCAUGAAUCAGUAAGAAAAUAUGUCCAAUUUAAUCAUUUUGGUAAGAUAUAAAAACUCAUCUACACAUUUUCCUAAAUGUUUUUAUUCUAAGUGUCUUCUUGUUCAAAUGUCAUUGAUUCAUAAUUGUUAAUGGGUACUUUCAGACUUUAAGUGGGAAAUUUUCAGCUCAAGAAGGUUAAAAUUAGUUUUAUUAUCUGUAGUGUGGUAGGCAAUUAACUUCUGAAAAGAAUAGCAAGACUUUUCCCCUAAUAAUGGUUAUAAAAACAGAUCAGAAAGGCAUAUAAUAGGAUAUUACUCAAGUGUAUAAAACUGGAAUUCACUUUAACAUUAUAGUUGUCUUUAGGCAUCUGUGGGGGAACUGGUUCUAGGACUACCCAUGGAUACCAACAUAUGUGGAUACUCAAGUCCCUUAUGUAAAACAGCACAGUAUUUCCCGAAUACUUUAAAUCAUCUCAAGAUUACUUGUGAUACCUAAUACAAUGUAAAUGCUACAUAAGUAGUUGUUAAGCUAUAUUGUUUUUUUAAAAUUUGUAUUAUUCUUUAUUUUUUUUCCCCUAAUAUUUUUGAUCCUCGGUUGGUUGAAUUCUUGGAUGUGGAACCUGCGGAUAUGGAGCGCCAACUGUAUAUCAUAAGCAUUUAUUCUUCAUCACUAAAAUUAAAACAUUAUUAUUUUUUAAGGCUGUGUAAUAUCCCAUCAUAGAUGUAGUCUUUAUUUAACCAUUCACUUCUAUCCCUGGACAGUUAGAUAUAAUUGUAACUAUGAAAAACUAGAAAACUGGGAACACUACAACUAAUGUUUUGGCAUGCAUCAUCUCUUUGCAUCUCUAUGUCCUUAAUAUGAAUUUUUACAAAUGGAAGUACUUAAACAUUUUAAAGGCUUUUGCCACAUAUUUGCAAAUUUCUUUCCUUAAAGAUUAUAUCAAUUUACUCUAACAGAAAUGAAUAUGUGUUUCAUCAAGCCCUCACAGCAAUAAAUAUUACCAUAAAAACAAACUUGGUUGUUUUAUUAAUAAUUUGCAUUUAUUUAUUUACUAGUGAGGCAGAACAUCUUUUAACUCGUGUAAUAGCUAUUUCAGAAUGUGUAGUAACAGUAUGCUGCUUGGAAAAGGAUUAAAGGAAGGUGCUAAUCAGCUGCCUGAGGACAGUAAAAUUUUUUUCAAAUUAUUCACAUAGGUGGGAA